GCCUAAUACAUGCAAGUCGAGCGAACAGACGAGGAGCUUGCUCCUCUGACGUUAGCGGCGGACGGGUGAGUAACACGUGGAUAACCUACCUAUAAGACUGGGAUAACUUCGGGAAACCGGAGCUAAUACCGGAUAAUAUAUUGAACCGCAUGGUUCAAUAGUGAAAGACGGUUUUGCUGUCACUUAUAGAUGGAUCCGCGCCGCAUUAGCUAGUUGGUAAGGUAACGGCUUACCAAGGCAACGAUGCGUAGCCGACCUGAGAGGGUGAUCGGCCACACUGGAACUGAGACACGGUCCAGACUCCUACGGGAGGCAGCAGUAGGGAAUCUUCCGCAAUGGGCGAAAGCCUGACGGAGCAACGCCGCGUGAGUGAUGAAGGUCUUCGGAUCGUAAAACUCUGUUAUUAGGGAAGAACAAAUGUGUAAGUAACUAUGCACAUCUUGAGGGUACCUAAUCAGAAAGCCACGGCUAACUACGUGCCAGCAGCCGCGGUAAUACGUAGGUGGCAAGCGUUAUCCGGAAUUAUUGGGCGUAAAGCGCGCGUAGGCGGUUUUUUAAGUCUGAUGUGAAAGCCCACGGCUCAACCGUGGAGGGUCAUUGGAAACUGGAAAACUUGAGUGCAGAAGAGGAAAGUGGAAUUCCAUGUGUAGCGGUGAAAUGCGCAGAGAUAUGGAGGAACACCAGUGGCGAAGGCGACUUUCUGGUCUGUAACUGACGCUGAUGUGCGAAAGCG
rnacentral:rRNA from 1 species